AACGAACGCUGGCGGCAUGCCUAACACAUGCAAGUCGAACGGGAUCCUGGUUUCGGCCAGGUGAGAGUGGCGGACGGGUGAGUAACGCGUGGGAACCUGCCCAGUGGUGGGGGAUAACUGCGGGAAACUGCAGCUAAUACCGCAUGAGCCCGCAAGGGGAAAGAUUGAUCGCCAUUGGAGGGGCCCGCGUUCGAUUAGGUAGUUGGUGAGGUAACGGCUCACCAAGCCUACGANCGAUAGCUGGUCUGAGAGGAUGAUCAGCCACACUGGGACUGAGAUACGGCCCAGACUCCUACGGGAGGCAGCAGGUGGGGAAUAUUGGACAAUGGGCGCAAGCCUGAUCCAGCGAUGCCGCGUGUGU
rnacentral:rRNA from 1 species